AGAAAAUUAUUAUUUUGUAAGCUUUGAAAAUAUAUAUUCUUGCAACAAGACAUAAGUUAUGAUAAAAUAGACAAACGAAAGCAGUUUUUCAAAUGAGACUGCGGCGCUUGGGUCUUACGCAAUGGAGACUCAUGAACCCCGUCAGAUCCGGAAGGAAGCAGCGGUAAGUGAUUACCUUCAUGUGCCGUGAGGGUGCCUGAGCGCCGUAGUCUGAUUUGAGGAGCUGUUUUUCC
rnacentral:SRP_RNA from 1 species